rnacentral:rRNA from 1 species
UACGAAGGGACCUAGCGUUGUUCGGAAUUACUGGGCGUAAAGGGCGCGUAGGCGGUUUUUUAAGUCAGAUGUGAAAGCCCUGGGCUUAACCUAGGAAUGGCAUUUGAUACUGGGAGACUAGAAUAUGAGAGGGGAUAGUGGAAUUGCGAGUGUAGAGGUGAAAUUCGUAGAUAUUCGCAGGAACACCAAUGGCGAAGGCAGCUAUCUGGUUCAAUAUUGACGCUGAGGCGCGAAAGCGUGGGGAGCAAACAGG